rnacentral:misc_RNA from 1 species
UGAAAUUUGUGUGAAUCCUUUUGCAACUAAUUGAGCUUUGAAGUGAUCAAUGGAGCUAUCUUCUUUAUAUUUGAUGCGGUAUACCCAUUUUGAGCCAACAACAUUAACACCAGAGGGUCAAGGAACUAACUCCCAUGUCUUAUUUAAAUGAAGUGCUUAAAUUUCUUCUUCCAUAUCAUUGUGCCAACGAGGAUCUUUUAAGGCACUUCAAAA